rnacentral:lncRNA from 1 species
CGGCGGUCCCGCCCCCGGCCCGUCUCGUGGACGUCCCCCAGCAGCCGGCGGCAGUAGAGGUGUCGCUCUGCGCGCCCCCGCCCUUCCCGCCGGGGUCGGUGGAGCGGCUCUUUAUGGUUGCGGUUGUCGCUCCCGCCCGACGCCUUCCUCCCUCGCUCCCUGCUUUCUGCUGGCUGUGGGGCGCCGCUGCCCGGGGGCCAUGGCGGGGGCGCCCGGCGGGCGGUAGCUCGGCCGGCGGCAGGUGAGGAGCUCAGAUCCAACACCAACCCUGAUGAGCUUGCAACAUCUUGCCUAAUGGAAUUGCUCAAACUUUCACAGCUGUAGAAGAGAUUUGGAUUCUUCAUACUUGUCACUGGGAGACUACCCACUCGCUUUUUUGGGUCAGUCUAAAUGAACUGCACUUUAGGGUGCGUGUUUUGGGAAGCACAAAGAUGUGGUCAGCUUUCACUGGAUGCUAUUCAGAGCCUAGCAUGUGGCUCCCCAUUUGUUCCAAAUGUUGAAAAAUCUAAUGAUGCU